UAUAUUUAAGUGUUUAUUAGCACUAAAGAUUUUGAUUCUUUAAGAUUUAAUUAAUGAUUAAAAAAUAUAA
rnacentral:tRNA from 1 species